AAGCGAAAGUGACGGUACCUGCAGAAGAAGCGCCGGCUAACUACGUGCCAGCAGCCGCGGUAAUACGUAGGGCGCAAGCGUUGUCCGGAAUUAUUGGGCGUAAAGAGCUCGUAGGCGGCUUGUCACGUCGGGUGUGAAAGCCCGGGGCUUAACCCCGGGUCUGCAUUCGAUACGGGCUAGCUAGAGUGUGGUAGGGGAGAUCGGAAUUCCUGGUGUAGCGGUGAAAUGCGCAGAUAUCAGGAGGAACACCGGUGGCGAAGGCGGAUCUCUGGGCCAUUACUGACGCUGAGGAGCGAAAGCGUGGGGAGCGAACAGGAUUAGAUACCCUGGUAGUCCACGCCGUAAACGGUGGGAACUAGGUGUUGGCGACAUUCCACGUCGUCGGUGCCGCAGCUAACGCAUUAAGUUCCCCGCCUGGGGAGUACGGCCGCAAGGCUAAAACUCAAAGGAAUUGACGGGGGCCCGCACAAGCAGCGGAGCAUGUGGCUUAAUUCGACGCAACGCGAAGAACCUUACCAAGGCUUGACAUACACCGGAAACGUCUGGAGACAGGCGCCCCCUUGUGGUCGGUGUACAGGUGGUGCAUGGC
rnacentral:rRNA from 1 species